rnacentral:rRNA from 1 species
ACACGUAGGGGGCGAAGCGUUGUUCGGAAUUACUGGGCGUAAAGGGCAUGUAGGCGGUCUUGUAAGCUUGGCGUGAAAGUCCACGGCUUAACCGUGGGAUUGCGUUGAGAACUGCGAGGCUUGAGUGACGGAGAGGGAGCUAGAAUUCCUGGUGUAGGGGUGGAAUCUGUAGAGAUCAGGAAGAAUACCAAUGGCGAAGGCAAGCUCCUGGCCGAUGACUGACGCUGAGGUGCGAAAGUGUGGGGAUC